rnacentral:rRNA from 1 species
CCUUACACAUGCAGUCGAACGGUAACAGGAGCUUGCUCCGCUGACGAGUGGCGAACGGGUGAGUAAUAUAUCGGAACGUACCAUUGAGUGGGGGAUAACGUAGCGAAAGUUGCGCUAAUACCGCAUAUUCUCUCCGGAGGAAAGCAGGGGACCGCAAGGCCUUGCGCUCAUUGAGCGGCCGAUAUCAGAUUAGCUAGUUGGUGGGGUAAAAGCUCACCAAGGCGACGAUCUGUAGCGGGUCUGAGAGGAUGAUCCGCCACACUGGAACUGAGACACGGUCCAGACUCCUACGGGAGGCAGCAGUGGGGAAUUUUGGACAAUGGGGGCAACCCUGAUCCAGCCAUGCCGCGUGAGUGAAGAAGGCCUUCGGGCUGUAAAGCUCUUUCAGCCGGGAAGAAAACGCAUGGGUCAAUACCCUGUGUGGAUGACGGUACCGGAAUAAGAAGCACCGGCUAACUACGUGCCAGCAGCCGCGGUAAUACGUAGGGUGCGAGCGUUAAUCGGAAUUACUGGGCGUAAGCGUGCGCAGGCGGUUUUGUAAGAUAGGCGUGAAAUCCCCGGGCUUAACCUGGGAACUGCGUUUAUGACUGCAAGGCUAGAGUACGGCAGAGGGGGGUGGAAUUCCACGUGUAGCAGUGAAAUGCGUAGAGAUGUGGAGGAACACCAAUGGCGAAGGCAGCCCCUGGGUCGAUACUGACGCUCAUGCACGAAAGCGUGGGUAGCAAACAGGAUUUAGAUACCCUGGUAGUCCACGCCCUAAACGAUGUCAACUAGGUGUUGGGUGGGUAAAACCAUUUAGUACCGGAGCUAUACGCGUGAAGUUGACCGCCUGGGGAGUACGGCCGCAAGGUUAAAACUCAAAGGAAUUGACGGGGACCCGCACAAGCGGUGGAUGAUGUGGAUUAAUUCGAUGCAACGCGAAAAACCUUACCUACCCUUGACAUGUCAGGAACUUGCCAGAGAUGGCUUGGUGCUCGAAAGAGAACCUGAACACAGGUGCUGCAUGGCUGUCGUCAGCUCGUGUCGUGAGAUGUUGGGUUAAGUCCCGCAACGAGCGCAACCCUUGUCGUUAAUUGCCAUCAUUUAGUUGGGCACUUUAACGAGACUGCCGGUGACAAACCGGAGGAAGGUGGGGAUGACGUCAAGUCCUCAUGGCCCUUAUGGGUAGGGCUUCACACGUCAUACAAUGGUCGGUACAAAGGGUCGCCAACCCGCGAGGGGGAGCCAAUCCCAGAAAGCCGAUCGUAGUCCGGAUUGCAGGCUGCAACUCGCCUGCAUGAAGUCGGAAUCGCUAGUAAUCGUGGAUCAGCAUGUCACGGUGAAUACGUUCCGGUCUUGUACACACCGCCCGUCACACCAUGGGAGCGGUUCCGCCAGAAGUAG